UUCGGGGNGGCAGGCGAUACGGGCAUAACUAGAGUGCUGUAGGGGAGACUGGAAUUCNUGGUGUAGCGGUGGAAUGCGCAGAUAUCAGGAGGAACACCGAUGGCGAAGGCAGGUCUCUGGGCAGUAACUGACGCUGAGGAGCGAAAGCAUGGGGAGCAAACAGGAUUAGAUACCCUGGUAGUCCAUGCUGUAAACGGUGGGCGUUAGGUGUGGGGACCGGUUUGGUUUCUGUGCCGUAGCUAACGCAUUAAGCGCCCCGCCUGGGGAGUACGGCCGCAAGGCUAAAACUCAAAGGAAUUGACGGGGGCCCGCACAAGCGGCGGAGCAUGUGGAUUAAUUCGAUGCAACGCGAAGAACCUUACCUGGGUUUGACAUGCACCAGACGGUUGUAGAGAUACGUACCUCCCUUUGUGGUUGGUGUGCAGGUGGUGCAUGGUUGUCGUCAGCUCGUGUCGUGAGAUGUUGGGUUAAGUCNNNCAANNAGCGCAACCCUUGUCUUAUGUUGCCAGCACUUUGGGUGGGGACUCAUGAGAGACUGCCGGGGUUAACUCGGAGGAAGGUGGGGAUGACGUCAAAUCAUCAUGCCCUUUAUGCCCAGGGCUUCACACAUGCUACAAUGGUUAGUACAACGCGCUGCGAGCCUGUGAGGGUGAGCGAAUCGCUGAAAGCUAAUCUCAGUUCGGAUUGGGGUCUGCAACUCGACCCCAUGAAGUCGGAGUCGCUAGUAAUCGCAGAUCAGCAAUGCUGCGGUGAAUACGUUCCCGGGCCUUGUAC
rnacentral:rRNA from 1 species